GAGUCACGAAGAUGCGCCAUUGGAGUUAAGUUUGGCCGAAGAUUCAUCAAUUACUUCGAAUUGACAGCCAGGGAAUGUUCCACUUAAUUUGGUAUUAUCAUUUCAUUUUAUAAUGCUCUUAUGUUGAUCUAGCAAUUAAUUGUGACUUUGGUUCUCUGAAAUUUAAGGUUCUAUGAUUCUCUUUUAUUUUUAUUAUCUGUUACAAACUUUUGCACUAGUAUUGGAUCUGAUAGAUGAUGGACAUAAUGCGGAAUUGCAGACUCAAUAUGUGAAAGAACAUCAGGAUGUCUACAUCUUACCAUCCCAAUUAAGCAAUGCUCUAAUACCACCCUCAGCUCGUAGCUUGACCUUCUAGCUUGUCUGGUAACUUGAGGGUUCCAUGGAGGGGAACCACAAGAGCGCGAUGAGAAUCAAUGUGGCAGACUGGCAUAUGUGAGGGGAGCUCCUCUCCCUAAUCUCAGUAAUUAGCAUUAGAUUGAACUGAUGUACAUAAACUAUAAGGUGAUCAUAUCCUUGUAAAUAUUCACUGCUGGAUGCCUUUUUCAGUUGGUAAUAGUGCCACCAGAGCCAUAGAGGAGUCGCUACGGGUGCUGCAUUACUUUUUCCAGCUCCUGCAAUUGUUGUUGCUUGGUGUCGACGGAGCAAAUUGCAGGAUGAUUUCUUUGAUAUGCCAGCACAGCCGAUAAUUUUAGCCACAACAAUAUUGUUGGAAAGGGGAUGGAUUGGCUGAUGGAUCUCUUGUGGUAGUUUCUUACUGUUGUACUGAAAUUGUUGUUGGUGGCUUCUAGAUUGUUGAUUCCAAGUUAUGUUUUGCAGGUAUGUUGAAUUUUUUCUCUUUCUGUGGACAUGGUAUUGAUUUUCUUAGUCCGACACUCUGCGUAGUCGCUAGAGGCCUAGCCUUUGUAAGUCAUUUGCGCUCAUUGUACUUGUUUUUCAUAUCCUUUUUCGUUUUAUUUUUAAUUUAAAAUUUGGUACUAUAUUCUCUUCUAGUAUAAGUUUGCAUUUAGGUGAUCAGAUUAUAUUUCACAGAAGCUAACACAAAAUCUAUUCUUUUUUUUUUUUUUUUUUUGUUGUUGCAGUUUUCCCGUUUGCAGAUACACUGAAAUUUUGAGGGGUGCUGGAAGAUAAUUGGAAGCGGAUAAAGAGAAUAACAUGUAUUUUUAGAUUUAUAUUUUUAAAUGAAUAUACUUUUCUCAUAUUAAUAAUUUGUCAUGUCGUUCGACCAUGACAUUUUUAGGGGAACUAUAUAUGUAAUGCCUUUAAUUAUUUAUAUUUACAUUUUUUUUGAGUUAAUGAUACCAUUAUUUUUUUUUCAUAAUUUUUUUUGGUUUGCUUUAGCUAUUUGAUUAUGAUUACGUCUUAUAAAUGAUCUUACUUGGAAAUGUAUGAAGUAAAAUUGUGUAAUUUAAAGCAAGAUAUAUAAUAAUGUCAAAUAAAUGAAAUAAUGAA